GUGGGGAAUCUUGCGCAAUGGGCGAAAGCCUGACGCAGCCAUGCCGCGUGAAUGAUGAAGGUCUUAGGAUUGUAAAAUUCUUUCACCGGGGACGAUAAUGACGGUACCCGGAGAAGAAGCCCCGGCUAACUUCGUGCCAGCAGCCGCGGUAAUACGAAGGGGGCUAGCGUUGCUCGGAAUUACUGGGCGUAAAGGGCGCGUAGGCGGACAGUUUAGUCAGAGGUGAAAGCCCAGGGCUCAACCUUGGAAUUGCCUUUGAUACUGGCUGUCUUGAGUACGGGAGAGGUGAGUUGAACUCCGAGUGUAGAGGUGAAAUUCGUAGAUAUUCGGAAGAACACCAGUGGCGAAGGCGACUCACUGGCCCGUUACUGACGCUGAGGCGCGAAAGCGUGGGGAGCAAACAGGAUUAGAUACCCGUGUAGUCC
rnacentral:rRNA from 1 species